UGAGUGGGCCAGGCGAUCGCGCGCUUCGGCGUGAGGAAAGUCCGGGCUCCUAAGGGCAAGAUGCCAGCUAACGGCUGGGCGGGGCGACCCGACGGAAAGUGCCACAGAAAAGAAGACUCCCCCUUAUUGGGAGAAAAGCUGAAACGGUGCGGUAAGAGCGCACCAGCAUACCGGCAACGGUAUGGCUUGGCAAACCCCAUCUGGAGCAAGCGCAAAUAGGAGCGCGAUACGGCCGCCCUUCCGUGCGUUCGGGUUGCGUGCUAGAGGCGCGUGGCGACACGCGUUCGAGAUAAAUGAUCGCCCCCGACAGAACCCGGCUUACCGGCCCACUCGCCUG
rnacentral:RNase_P_RNA from 1 species